CCACCACCAAAGCAUUUGCUGUACCGCGUUGACGGAGCGAAGCGACGUCAAACCGAUAAAACAGCAGUGUAAAGUGAGCCGCAGGGCGCUUUGCGCGACAGCGCAAAGGCAGGCGGUUUCGCGUAGCGAAAGCGAAUGCUUUGGGUGGGGUGACUGCGUACCUUUUGUAUAAUGGGUCAGCGACUUAUAUUCUGUAGCAAGGUUAACCGAAUAGGGGAGCCGGAGGGAAACCGAGUCUUAAUUGGGCGUUAAGUUGCAGGGUAUAGACCCGAAACCCGGUGAUCUAGCCAUGGGCAGGUUGAAGGGUGGGUAACACUAACUGGAGGACCGAACCGACUAAUGUUGAAAAAUUAGCGGAUGACCUGUGGCUGGGGGUGAAAGGCCAAUCAAACCGGGAGAUAGCUGGUUCUCCCCGAAAGCUAUUUAGGUAGCGCCUCGUGAAUUCAUCUCCGGGGGUAGAGCACUGUUUCGGCUAGGGGGCCAUCCCGGCUUACCAACCCGAUGCAAACUGCGAAUACCGGAGAAUGUUAUCACGGGAGACACACGGCGGGUGCUAACGUCCGUCGUGAAGAGGGAAACAACCCAGACCGCCAGCUAAGGUCCCAAAGUCAUGGUUAAGUGGGAAACGAUGUGGGAAGGCCCAGACAGCCAGGAUGUUGGCUUAGAAGCAGCCAUCAUUUAAAGAAAGCGUAAUAGCUCACUGGUCGAGUCGGCCUGCGCGGAAGAUGUAACGGGGCUAAACCAUGCACCGAAGCUGCGGCAGCGACACUGUGUGUUGUUGGGUAGGGGAGCGUUCUGUAAGCCUGUGAAGGUGUGUCGUGAGGCAUGCUGGAGGUAUCAGAAGUGCGAAUGCUGACAUAAGUAACGAUAAAGCGGGUGAAAAGCCCGCUCGCCGGAAGACCAAGGGUUCCUGUCCAACGUUAAUCGGGGCAGGGUGAGUCGACCCCUAAGGCGAGGCCGAAAGGCGUAGUCGAUGGGAAACGGGUUAAUAUUCCCGUACUUGGUGUUACUGCGAAGGGGGGACGGAGAAGGCUAUGUUGGCCGGGCGACGGUUGUCCCGGUUUAAGCGUGUAGGUGUGUGUUCCAGGUAAAUCCGGUUCACUUUAACACUGAGGCGUGACGACGAGGCACUACGGUGCUGAAGCAACAAAUGCCCUGCUUCCAGGAAAAGCCUCUAAGCAUCAGGUAACAUCAAAUCGUACCCCAAACCGACACAGGUGGUCAGGUAGAGAAUACCAAGGCGCUUGAGAGAACUCGGGUGAAGGAACUAGGCAAAAUGGUGCCGUAACUUCGGGAGAAGGCACGCUGACACGUAGGUGAAGUGAUUUACUCAUGGAGCUGAAGUCAGUCGAAGAUACCAGCUGGCUGCAACUGUUUAUUAAAAACACAGCACUGUGCAAACACGAAAGUGGACGUAUACGGUGUGACGCCUGCCCGGUGCCGGAAGGUUAAUUGAUGGGGUCAGCGCAAGCGAAGCUCCUGAUCGAAGCCCCGGUAAACGGCGGCCGUAACUAUAACGGUCCUAAGGUAGCGAAAUUCCUUGUCGGGUAAGUUCCGACCUGCACGAAUGGCGUAAUGAUGGCCAGGCUGUCUCCACCCGAGACUCAGUGAAAUUGAACUCGCUGUGAAGAUGCAGUGUACCCGCGGCAAGACGGAAAGACCCCGUGAACCUUUACUAUAGCUUGACACUGAACAUUGAGCCUUGAUGUGUAGGAUAGGUGGGAGGCUUUGAAGUGUGGACGCCAGUCUGCAUGGAGCCGACCUUGAAAUACCACCCUUUAAUGUUUGAUGUUCUAACGUGGACCCGUUACCCGGGUUGCGGACAGUGUCUGGUGGGUAGUUUGACUGGGGCGGUCUCCUCCUAAAGAGUAACGGAGGAGCACGAAGGUUGGCUAAUCCUGGUCGGACAUCAGGAGGUUAGUGCAAUGGCAUAAGCCAGCUUGACUGCGAGCGUGACGGCGCGAGCAGGUGCGAAAGCAGGUCAUAGUGAUCCGGUGGUUCUGAAUGGAAGGGCCAUCGCUCAACGGAUAAAAGGUACUCCGGGGAUAACAGGCUGAUACCGCCCAAGAGUUCAUAUCGACGGCGGUGUUUGGCACCUCGAUGUCGGCUCAUCACAUCCUGGGGCUGAAGUAGGUCCCAAGGGUAUGGCUGUUCGCCAUUUAAAGUGGUACGCGAGCUGGGUUUAGAACGUCGUGAGACAGUUCGGUCCCUAUCUGCCGUGGGCGCUGGAGAACUGAGGGGGGCUGCUCCUAGUACGAGAGGACCGGAGUGGACGCAUCACUGGUGUUCGGGUUGUCAUGCCAAUGGCACUGCCCGGUAGCUAAAUGCGGAAGAGAUAAGUGCUGAAAGCAUCUAAGCACGAAACUUGCCCCGA
rnacentral:rRNA from 1 species